AGCGAACGCUGGCGGCAGGCCUAACACAUGCAAGUCGAACGAAGCCUUCGGGCUUAGUGGCGGACGGGUGAGUAACACGUGGGAACGUACCUUUUGGUUCGGAACAACUCAGGGAAACUUGAGCUAAUACCGGAUGAGCCCUUAGGGGGAAAGAUUUAUCGCCGAAAGAGCGGCCCGCGUUAGAUUAGCUAGUUGGUGAGGUAAAGGCUCACCAAGGCAACGAUCUAUAGCUGUGCUGAGAGGAUGAUCAGCCACACUGGGACUGAGACACGGCCCAGACUCCGACGGGAGGCAGCAGUGGGGAAUCUUGCGCAAUGGGCGAAAGCCUGGCGCAGCCAUGCCGCGUGAAUGAUGAAGGUCUUAGGAUUGUAAAAUUCUUUUACCAGGGACGAUAAUGACGGUACCUGGAGAAAAAGCCCCGGCUAACUUCGUGCCAGCCGCCGCGGUAAUAC
rnacentral:rRNA from 1 species